AUCGAAUUCGGGUCCUGAGCAGUUGAUAGCUAUCCUGCCAGGGCUAGUGUACACCAGUGACCGUGAGUCAUCUAGCGGGUUGGCCGGUCAAGUGUCCGUGAGAGGUGGUCACCUCUCCGGCACACAGUUCCAGAUAUGAUAGAUUACAAGAGAACUUAGUCUGCAGACGAACUUUAAGAAUCACAAAUGAAUUUAGUAAGCUUGGGCCUUUUUAGCGAAAAACUCCCUUGCUGUACUGUUUAUGAUGGCAU
rnacentral:lncRNA from 1 species